rnacentral:rRNA from 1 species
AUGUGCACCACCACCCCUGCGCCGUCGGCGCCAGCCGUGGCAGUCUCCGGCGGCAAGGGCCUCCAUCACGUCUAUGUGACGCUAGCCCAGAGCGCAGACAUUCACGGGCACGGGGGCGAGGCGUCCGGCGCUCAUUGUCACCCCCAGCUCAAGUGCCACGGGGUUGACGGCCACGCCGUGCUCCUGACGGUGACUGGUGGCGAGACUUUCCAGGAGGCGGCGGCACUGUGCCGGCUGGCGUGCCCGAUCGCGCUGACAGCGCUGCUGCUCUACUCUCGCACCGCGCUGUCCAUGCUCUUCCUCGGCUCCCUCGGCGACCUCCAGCUAGCGGCGGGUUCGCUCGCCGUCGCCUUCGCCAACAUCACCGGCUACUCAGUGCUCUCCGGGCUCUCCCUCGGAAUGGACCCGCUUUGCUCUCAGGCGUUUGGCGCCAACCAGCCGACGCUCCUGGGCCUCACCCUCUACCGCUCUGUUCUCUUCUUGCUCUGCUGCUCGCUGCCGCUCUCUGCGCUGUGGCUCAACAUGUCAAAGAUCCUCCUCUUCCUCGGCCAGGACCGCGAGAUCACGGAGCUCGCGCAGCAGUACCUCCUAUUCUCCCUCCCCGACCUCUUCACCUUCUCCCUGAUCCACCCACUACGCGUCUACCUCCGGUCGCAAGGUGUCACGCAGCCGCUCACCACCGCCGCGGGCGCAGCCGUGCUGUUCCACGUGCUGGCCAACUACGUGCUGGUGGGGCGACUCGGGCUCGGCGCCGAGGGGGUUGCCGCCGCGGCCUCGGCUUCCAACUUCGUGCUACUCGGCGUGUUGCUGGCGUACGUCAGCCGGCGCGACACGGCGUUGCGGGAGGCAUGGGGUCCCACGGCGGAGUGGCUCGCCGGAUGGGGCCCGCUUGCGCGGCUGGCCGCUCCUAGCUGCGCGUCGGUGUGCCUGGAGUGGUGGUGGUACGAGGUGAUGAUCUUGCUGUGCGGGCUACUGCCGGAGCCAAAGCCGGCGGUGGCGUCCAUGGGCGUGCUUAUGCAGACGACGGCGCUUGUGUAUGUCUUCCCGUCGUCCCUGGGUCUCGGCGUGUCGACGCGGGUGGGAAACGAGCUGGGCGCGAAUCGCCCAGGCCGCGCGCGCUCUUCCGCUCGGGUGGCCAUGGUCGGCGCCGCCGUAAUGGGACUCUUGGCCAUGUCGUUCGCAGCGGGUACGCGCCACGCAUGGGGUCGACUCUUCACCGCCGACGCCGACAUCCUCCGCCUAACUGCAGCCGCGCUGCCGGUCGUAGGGCUGUGCGAGCUCGGAAAUUGCCCACAGACCGUCGGCUGCGGCGUGCUCCGCGGCAGCGCCCGGCCGUCGCGAGCCGCGCACGUCAACCUCGGCGCUUUCUAUCUUGUGGGCAUGCCCGUCGCCGUCGUGCUUGCGUUCUGGUUCGGCGUGGGCUUCGUUGGGCUCUGGGUGGGGCUCCUCGCCGCCCAGGUGUGCUGCGCCGGGCUCAUGCUGUGCGCCGUGGGAUCCACCGACUGGGAGGCGCAGGCUCGGCGGGCUCAGGUGCUGACAUCGUCGUCCUCUCCAGACGUGGAGAUGUCCGACGCUGGGAAGGGCGGGGGCCACGCGUCGGCGGCGGCGGCCGCGGCAGGGGGAGCCGGGCCCGAGAAAGGGGAGCACGAUGAGGACAGGGCGGACAGGAGGCGCUACGAGCCAUUGAUCUCGAAUGAGAGGGCCGAGCCCGGGUCAGUGCAGGUGCUUUGA